rnacentral:rRNA from 1 species
AGAGUUUGAUCCUGGCUCAGAACGAACGCUGGCGGCAGGCUUAACACAUGCAAGUCGAGCGCCCCGCAAGGGGAGCGGCAGACGGGUGAGUAACGCGUGGGAAUCUACCCUUUUCUACGGAAUAACGCAUGGAAACGUGUGCUAAUACCGUAUGAGCCCUUCGGGGGAAAGAUUUAUCGGGAAAGGAUGAGCCCGCGUUGGAUUAGCUAGUUGGUGGGGUAAAGGCCUACCAAGGCGACGAUCCAUAGCUGGUCUGAGAGGAUGAUCAGCCACAUUGGGACUGAGACACGGCCCAAACUCCUACGGGAGGCAGCAGUGGGGAAUAUUGGACAAUGGGCGCAAGCCUGAUCCAGCCAUGCCGCGUGAGUGAUGAAGGCCCUAGGGUUGUAAAGCUCUUUCACCGGUGAAGAUAAAGACG